GUGCUCAACAGGAAGUCUUAUUUUCAGUCUUCAAAGUCGAGCUGACAGCUAUGAAACUCAUUCUGUGGUGGAUUUUUUGCUUUAGUUUAGGUUUUGUCGCUGAUUGCCAAGAGAAUCGUUAUGGAUUGAAAGGAAGCUCAAUCCGACUGAGCAUCAAUCCCAGAAAUCAGUCACAUCGGCUAACUAAAGUUGGAUGGCACCGAUUCAACAGGAUAGAGAUGCUUACAGACUCAGACGAAGUUUCCCCUCAUUUUAAGAAAAGAAUGAGCUUAAACAUCUCAGACUGGUCUUUGACCAUACACAACCUUGAGGAAAACGACAGUGGACUUUAUGAGGCCCUUGAGAAGUGGGAGCAAGAAACUCUGGCUGCAUUCACACUUUCAGUGGAGAACACUGUCUCUGAGCCUGUAAUCAAAGUGAGUCAAUACGACUUCAAUUCAUCUGCUGGACUGUGUCAGGCCACAGUAAACUGUUCGGUUGAUGGCAGCUGGGCCGUGUUUGACUGCGACCAAGGUGUCUGUGCAAAGACACAAGCCUCUCCAUCCUCCAUUAACAUCACUGUGAAUGCAACGGACAACAUCCAGUGCCACGUCAGCAACCACGUGAGCAAGAAUCAUUCUCAGGCUUCCGAAGUUAUGUGCCAUGAAAAGCUGCACAGUGAUUCGCACUCUCCACCGUCACUCAGCGCUUCGAACAUUGUCACCAUUGGUGUUGGUGUUUUAUUGGUUUUGUUUAUGGGUUUCAUUGUAGUAUUUGUCAAGAGAAGAAAGUGUUCAAAAGUUCAUCCGCAGUCCAGACAUAUUGUGAUUCAACAGCAUCAUGAGACAAUCUACAGCACAGUGGAAAAGCCGGCCGCAUCCCAGACAUCUCCAAGAAACAACACCAUCAGCAACAAAGUAGAAACCAUCUAUGAUACUCCAUCACGACAUACCAAGGCUUGUCAAGUAGACAGUGUGGAGGUGAUGAGAGACAAUCAGGAGCAACAGCAAUCUGGACCGGACAGAACUAUUAAAGUAAAAGCUACAGUUCACCAGGCAGCAGAUCCCAAUUCAGAACCAAUAAACACAGUUUACUGCAAACUGGGAGAGAUAUGACACAAACGCACACAUACUGUACAUGCCUGAGACGUCACUUCAGUGGAGAUUUAAGAUUUUUGUGAGAAAAAAAAAUAUUUAAUGUAAAUUUUGUGUUUUUUACUAGUGAAUAGAUGGUUUUGAGGAUCAUUGAUGGAUGCAAUAUAUUUGUAUGCUGCCUCCUAUUUUGUAAAAACAGCAUAUGCAAUACACUCUUAAGAAUAAAGGUUCAAAAAGCAGGUUUUCA
ensembl:lncRNA